GUCCCCUUCGUCUAGAGGCCUAGGACGGCUCCCUUUCACGGAGCAGACACCGGUUCGAAUCCGGUAGGGGACGCCA
rnacentral:tRNA from 1 species